rnacentral:rRNA from 1 species
GAUGAACGCUGGCGGCGUGCCUAAUACAUGCAAGUCGAGCGAACGGACAAGAAUCUUGCUUCUCUGAUGUUAGCGGCGGACGGGUGAGUAACACGUGGAUAACCUACCUAUAAGACUGGGAUAACUUCGGGAAACCGGAACUAAUACCGGAUGAUAUUUUGAACCGCAUGGUUCAAAAGUGAAAGACGGUCUUGCUGUCACUUAUAGAUGGAUCCGCGCUGCAUUAGCUAGUUGGUAAGGUAACGGCUUACCAAGGCGACGAUGCAUAGCCGACCUGAGAGGGUGAUCGGCCACACUGGAACUGAGACACGGUCCAGACUCCUACGGGAGGCAGCAGUAGGGAAUCUUGCGCAAUGGGCGAAAGCCUGACGGAGCAACGCCGCGUGAGUGAUGAAGGUCUUCGGAUCGUAAAACUCUGUUAUUAGGGAAGAACAUAUGUGUAAGUAACUGUGCACAUCUUGACGGUACCUAAUGAGAAAGCCACGGCUAACUACGUG